ensembl:lncRNA
CUUUAGUGUGUAUAAAUGCUAUUUGUGUUCUUCAGACUAGGAUUUUACAGUGAACAAAAUCUGACUCUUUGAAAUCAAGAGUAUACAGAAUAACUCACAAAGCAAUCAGGAAGAUCCUUCGAAAGGAUCACUUCUCGUAUAACUGCACCUGUACAGGUUUGUUUCUUACUGACAUGACUGUCUAAUAGUUACUGUUUAUGUCAGUAUGGAUCUGAAUUUUAAAAUUCUUACUCAUACCUUUACUGAGCUGGGUUUCUUUCAGUAGUUGAUCUUGUUUACAAUUACGUUAAUAUUUUACUAGGGCUUAAAUUCAACAUGUUUUACGACGUACAUCCUUCAGUCUUGACUGCGCAAGCAGCAUUGUUAUAACAUCUGUGCUUCAGCUUGCACGUACAUUGCCCGCAUCCUGUAGGCAGGUACAAGAAAAAAGUUGUUGAGCUCUGUGCCUCCUCCUUGCACUUUCACCACUUGCUCCUGGCACUCUUCAGCCUGCUGUGUGCUACACCUGUCCGGAGGAAUGCUGCCACAGGGAAACACGGUGCAUUAAAUCCAGCUGAACGUGAGUGACUCAGCCCAUGAUCUUGAAUCACUUUUUAAACCUGCGAUGAUUUUGAGGAAACCCCAAUGGAACAUAAGCAACACAUUCCUGGCAAUCAGUGAAGCAGUAACAGUUCAUGGAGCUGCCCUUCACAAACCUGGAAGUAGCUUUCAUCUUACUUGCUUUUGUCAUUUUCUCCUUGUUCACCUUGGCAUCUAUCUACAGUGACCCCUAUGGCAAGAAAGAAGAAUGCUCCACACAGGAAGUACACGGGAAAAGAAGCAAAUCCAACACGAAAAAGACACAUGCAAAUACAAGUGAAUUGGCUUAGAGAAAGAAUUGUUACCAAGGUCCACUGUUGGAAAUACAUCUGAAAGAGAUAACCUUGGAAGCUGGUCACCUGAACACAGUGAGAAAAAGGGUGUGAGAAAGGAAGGACCUGAUCAUCCAUCAGAUGGAAUCCAGACGUGACAAUUAGAGUUAAUGAACCAUGACCCAAGAAGCAGUUUCUGCACUUUACAAUCCUACUUCAUGGCCUCAGUAAAACUUUCAGGGCUGCUUUUUUUUUCCCACAGAACACAUCUGCUCCAAAUUCUAAAGGGAGAAACUGGUUUCAGAAGUUACAUUUGGUUUCCUCCCUACUUUUCAGUCAUGUAUGAGGUAAAUGUAAGAACUUUGUUAACUAAAAAUCAGAAGAUACAGCUUCUAUGAUGAGUCUAUAUAGUAUUAUUAUAGUAGCUAUUUAAUUUAUAUUAAAUUUAAUGAACUGAUAAAGAUGACUGGAAAACACCAAGCAAAUAUUUUCAAAACAACCAGCAUAAUGGCUUCUAUGUUUAAAUACUGGUUUUGGCCUCAGAUAGCUAAGAGAAUGCCUCAAAGGGGGGAAAAAAAAAAGUUGAUUAAUACUUAAGUCUCCUAUCAUUUCUUCACAGAGCAGGUAUAGCUAAUGAAGCAGUGCCUCUUUUUCCCCAAAGUCCAGAAGAUCUACUGAACUUCUAAUCCUGAGGUGGAAUUGAUCUUUCUUUCCCUACGAGCAAAGUAUUCCUGCACUCAGAGCCUCUCAAUAGUUUCUCAGAAUCACAAAAAGUCAUCCAUUUGGUCUUUUGCUACUAUUUGGAAUGAAGGAUUGAAAUAGGGCCAAACAACUCUUGGUGGUUUUCUUCCCAUAUCAGACGCACCUUUUUUUGGCCUCCUCCAAAGAUGUGUUACCAAAACCAUAACAAUUCACUGUGAAAUCUGCUACCUAAAUUACAAUUGCUUUUUGGUUACAGUAGUGAAUUCUAAAAAAGCUUUUCCAGCAGCCCUGGUCAGAAAUCCACAAAGGAUACCUAGUGCAGAGCAGGAAGAUCUCAAGAGUUUGGAGAUAAUGUUUCACAGUCAGCUUACACUCCAGUUCCCUCUUCUCACUGAGUUAGGAAGUGAUUGGUUGCAUCCUGCUUCUGGAGAAGACAAAGGUAUUUCAGCCAUUGGUACUCCAAACUCAAAGAAGACCAUUAUUAAGAAAUGAAAGUCCAACUUGGUCUUGUACAUGGAAAUGUCUGCAGUACUUCCAAGACUUCUUCAAGAGUCAAUGGGUCUCAUAGGAAUGGCUCACAGAGCUUUUUUUCUUACUGACACUGUCCUCAUACAUUCCAAUUUUUACAGUUAGUAUGGCGUUCUCUUCAGUGAAACUUGAGCGCACACACUCACGCUGUGUCAUGAGAAUUUUCUAGUCCUAUCACUGAAUUCCUUUCUUAUAGCUUAUAGUAAAAUCAUUUCCAAAGGAGGAGAGGAGAAGAGAACAUUGCUGUUUUCUGUUCUAAUAUGAGCAUGUGAAUAAAUUAAAUGAUAUUUAUAUCUUUAUAGAAGGAGCUUCACAAUUUUAAAAAAUAAAAAAAGAUGAUCAGAAGAAAUGGAAGGAAAAGGUGUGGUAAGAGUAAAAUAUCUGAUAAGAAAUUAUUUGACUGAAAAUGAAUAGUAGAGGAAUAUUACAAAAUCUAUCCAUAUCACAGUCAAUCGAUUAAAUAAUAAAACACAUCACUUUAUUCUAGCAAGUUUUUUCAAUGCAAAAAAAAAAAAAAGCCUAUGGCUUGGUAAUAAAAGUAACUGUAAACUGUCUUGCCCAUCAUACAUACUAUUGCUAAGUAUAGUUUUAUUUCUUCACUAUAUUAACUUCCCAAGAGCUCAUUAAAUGUUACUGAUAUUGAAAGCACGGUCAAUCAGGUGAAAUAAAAUAAAAUGGAAAAAAAUUAAAAAUAUCAGUAGAUCAAGUGUUUGUUGUAAAUAUCUUCUGCCUUGCUUAAACAUUGAACUAAUUUUUAAGUAUGCAUGCAGAGAAGUUGUAUAAUGCAUAACCUGAUAAAUAAAACACACACAUUAGGCAAGUGACAUUGUAAAGAUCUAUUGUUUUAAUAAUUUCUUUCGAUCCAAUGAUACCUCAAUAAGGGAAGAACAUGUGACAAAAUAAGUAACUGUCUCUUCAGUUGUCAUUUCAAAAUAUUUUCUGGAAGCUUAUAGAAUAAUGGAAUCACUAAGGUUGGAAAAGACCUCCACAAUCAUCAAGUCCAACCAUCAACCCAUGCCCACUAAGCUAUGUCCCUCACUGCCACAUUCACACACUUCUUGAAUACCUCUAUGGACAGUGACUCCACCACUUCCCUGGAUAGUCUGUUCCAAUAACUCACCCCUCCUUCUGAGAAGAAAUUUUUCCUAACACCCAUCCCAAACUGACCCACCCCCCUCACCACAACCUCCCUUCUGGUAGUUUUAGGGAGCUAUAAGCUCUACCUUGAGCCUCCUGUUCUCCAGACUAAACAAUCCCAGUUCCCUCAGCCACACUUCAUAAAACUUGUGUUCCAGACCCUUCACAGCUCCACUGCCCUUCUCUGGACGUGCUCCAGGGCCUCAGUGUCUUUCUUGUAAUGAGAGGUCAAAAACUGAACGCAGUACUUGCAGUGCAGCCUCACUAGUGCCAAGUACAGAGGGACAAUCACAUUCCUGCUCCUGCUGGCUACACUAUUUCUGAUGCCAUCCUGGAUGCCACUGGCUGCCUUAGCCACCUGGGCACACUGCUGGCUCACGUUCAGCCAGCUGUUGACCAGAUCUUUAUCUUCCAUGCAGUUUGCCAGCCACUCUACCCCAAUCCUGUAGCAUUGCAUAAGGUUGCAAGAUAGCAGUUUUGCUAACUCCCACCUGACUUCACUAAAAAUAGAGAACUUUAUCAUUUUACGGUCACCAAGCCCAAGACAGCUUCCAACCACCACAACUCCCACCAGUCCUCCUCUGCUUGUAAGUAGGUCUAGAGGGGCAUUUCCCCUGGUAGGCUCUCCUACCAGCUGCGUCAGGAAGUUAUCUUCCACACACACCAGGAGCCUCCUAGACUGCUUUCUCUCUGCUGUAUUGUUUUUCCUGCGUAUGUCAGGCAAAUUGAAGUCCCUCACAAGAACAAAGGCUAACGAUCACGUGGCUUUUGUCAGCUACUCAUUAAAUGCUUCAUCUGUCUUCUCAUCCUGGUUUGGUGGUCUAUAACAAAUUCCCAGUGAGAACGUAAGCCUCAUUGGACUUCCCUCUGAUCCUUACCCAUAAGGACUCAACCUUAUCAUUCCCAACACUGAGCUCUGCAACAUCAAAACACUCCCUAACACAGAGAGACAUCCCACCAGCUCUCCUUCCUUGUCUAUACCUCCUAAAGAGCCUGUAGCCACCUACUGCAGCACUCCAGUCAUGAGAGUAAUUCCACCAUGUUUCAGUGGUGGCAACUAAGUCAUAGUUUUCCUGUUGCACAAUGGCUUCUAGCUCCUCCUGUUUGCAGCCCAUGCUGUGUGCAUUGGUGUAGAUGGACUUCAGCUGGGCCAUUGAUCUCACCCCUAACACUGACAUACUGCCCCUAGGCUCAUCUCUAACAAGUUUGGUUAUAUCCCGUUUCCCUUUCAAACCUAGUUUAAAGCCCUUUCAACAAGCCCCACUAACUACUGGGCUAGAAUCCAUUCCCUCCCCCCCUUUGAAACAGGUGGACUCCAUCUGUUGCCAGCAGGCCUGAUGCUGAAUAAAGCUUUGCAUGAUAAAAAAUAAUAAUAAUAAUAAAAAAAUUCCUCUGACUGCACCAGCCUCUUAGCCAUGUGUUGCUCAGGUGGCUUUUCCUGUUUCUCACAAUAUUUUUCUCUGCUACUGAAGGGAUUGAAGAAAACACCACCUGAGGUCUCACUUUAUAUAAACAGGUUUUCUAAGAAAAACACUCUAUUAGACAUUUGUGAUUUCAUGAGAUCUUUACAGGCUGUUCUGGAACAAAAGAUCCUGAUGAGGGCACAGAUUCUGUCACUUCUUAAUUAAAAGUAACAGCAAAUGGAGAUUCUUUAGUCUUUCAUUAAUUCAACCGUUCAUUUAAAACUCUUGUUUGAAGCCAUUUAAUCUACGAAGCACAGAUGCUGUUCAUCAUCCAGUGUUCUCAUGCAAAAUAACUCAUGUUGGUAGUGAGAUAUAUCCAGGAAAAAAAAAUAUCCAGCACUGACAGAAAGAUACAAGAACACUGAAUAAUUCAGAAUUGUGCCUUAGAAGAUCCAAAUCAAACAAAAACUUCCAGUUCUUGCUGUGAAUUACAGUCCAUGUUUCUGCAUACAUUCUAAACUACAGUGAGUUUUUCAAUCUGUUUACUAAUGUAAGAUGCAUCAACCGACCUCCCAGCACAGAAAGUGUAUUUAAAAUGUCAUGCAUAGUAACUAACUAUGGAAUGAAAAAAUCUUUAUGCAUAUUCUCAGCAAGUGAGAAACCCAUGUUUUCAUUGGCCUGUAUCAUGCAUGCUAAGUGAGGAACAGUUUUAUGAAGAGAAAAUAAGCAACCAUGUAUGCACAGUAAAGCAGAAGACCUUUUAGUAAUGACCUGCAGUCAUACCAGAUUGAAAUUCUGUUCUCUGUUCUAUUAUUAUCCACAAUUCCAAGUCAUUAUUCUACUUACUUUUAUGAUGUUCAGUAAGAGGAGGUCAUCUUUCACCCUGAACUGCUGUAUAUCUCCUGCAGGUAAUUUCUGUUUUUCCUGAGUAUUCUUUCAUUCCCCGCCACUCACAAUACCGUUGCUUAUAUUACAUAUAGUAAAGCUUUCCAGGGUUAGAGAACCCAAGUAAAGAUCCUGGCAGUAGAUAGAUCUUUCAUAUAAUGUAAAUCUGGUUCUGUCAAAGUUUUACAGUUGAUUAGACAAAAACUUAGCUAAUUUCUGCUCAUGGCUCAUGGUAUUUUUUUUCUUAUUUUGAUAUCUAGUGGCUAUUAUUCCUUAGUUUUAUCCAAAAAAGCAAACUAUUUCUGCAUUUAUUGGUAUCUGUAGUUCUUGCUGACUCUUCUUUUCCUUAUAAAGCUUCAGUAGGUUAUUAACAGUAAGAUGCAGAGAGUAAGCGAACCAUUAGCUGAGAAAGUUAAUUUUAAAAAAGUGAUGGAAAGUACCUCAAUAAUGUUUUAAAUCUAUGCCAUGAAAUAUAAUGAGAUAAUAAAAAAUAAAAAGAAGGAAAACAAAUGUGGUUAAGCAAUUAUUUUACAUAAAAUUGCAAAAAGAACUAAUCAUACUAG